UACGGAGGGUGCAAGCGUUAUCCGGAUUCACUGGGUUUAAAGGGUGCGUAGGCGGGCAGGUAAGUCCGUGGUGAAAUCUCUGAGCUUAACUCAGAAACUGCCAUGGAUACUAUUUGUCUUGAAUAUUGUGGAGGUAAGCGGAAUAUGUCAUGUAGCGGUGAAAUGCUUAGAUAUGACAUAGAAACACCAAUUGCGAAGGCAGCUUACUACACAGUAAUUGACGCUGAGGCACGAAAAGCGUGGGGAUCAAACAGG
rnacentral:rRNA from 1 species